GACGGGACAGGACAGGACGGGAUGGGACUGGAUGUGAUAACCACCCCAGUGCCAAGGCUGGUGACACUAACCCCAUGCCAGUGACAAGUGCUGCCUUGGGGCACAUGCAUGCAAGAGUGGCUUGGAGAAGAGAGGACAUGGAUUUACUAAUGAGGGCGGUUUCUAACCAACUAACAGCCUCUUGGUCUAUUUGCUUCACUAUUAGAUAUAACUGGAGUGGUCGACAGGCAGCUGACAGAUGCAGAAGCUAAAUGUUUCUCCUUCCAUUGUUUAUUGCACUGGCUUUUUCUGGAGAGUCAUGAAGAAGCAUCUGCUUGCCAGUGACAGAUGAAAGAAAUUACUCCACUCAUCCACUCAUCCCACUUGGUCAACCAAUGAGUCGAGUUGGGGUUUACUUACAGGAUCAUGGAUGAAGAGUUUCCUACAGGAGCAUGGGAAACUCGUGGUCAGUUACACCACUGAAGAAAACCUCCCCACCACACCAGCAGCUGCUAACUGCUUACACAUCCUUGAGGAUAAGAGAGUCUGCAUGACCCACCUCAUAAGAUACUUGUGUAUCCAUGUACUCGGCCUCACAUACAUGUAAGCCCUCCUUCCCCACCACAAGGGAUUGUUGGUAGCCCUAAUCUUGUGAGGGUCCCCUGAUGCAAUCACACCUGCUGCACUUUCAAGACAGCAAUGGCCAUGCCAUGCUUAGAGGACAAGACAAUGAAAUUUUCUGAACAUUAGUGAGCGUUUAGUAUCUAUGAAGUGGUUGCUCUGGCUAGUUUUAUGUCAACCUGACACAAGUUAGAGCCAUGUGGGAAGAGGGACUCUUAAUUGAGAAAAUGUCUCUAUAAGAUUGGCCUAUAGGCAAGGCUGCAGGGCAUUUUCGUAGUGAUUGGUGUAGGAAGGCCCAGCCCACUGUGAAUGGUGUUCUCUCAAGGAAGGUGGUCCUAGGGUAUAUAAGAAAGGAGGCUCUUACAAAGGAAAAAGUAAUAUGCUGUUGGAAUAUUGCAGUACAUUUUCAGAAGAAGAAGAGGAGAAGGAGGA